GUGGGGAAUAUUGGACAAUGGGCGAAAGCCUGAUCCAGCCAUGCCGCGUGUGUGAAGAAGGUCUUCGGAUUGUAAAGCACUUUAAGUUGGGAGGAAGGGCAGUAAGUUAAUACCUUGCUGUUUUGACGUUACCGACAGAAUAAGCACCGGCUAACUUCGUGCCAGCAGCCGCGGUAAUACGAAGGGUGCAAGCGUUAAUCGGAAUUACUGGGCGUAAAGCGCGCGUAGGUGGUUUUGUAAGUUGGAGUUGAAAUCCCCGGGCUCAACCUGGGAACUGCCUCCAAAACUGCAUGACUAGAGUACGGUGGAGGGUAGUGGAAUUUCCUGUGUAGCGGUGAAAUGCGUAGAUAUAGGAAGGAACACCAGUGGCGAAGGCGACUACCUGGACUGAUACUGACACUGAGGUGCGAAAGCGUGGGGAGCAAACAGGAUUAGAUACCCGAGUAGUCC
rnacentral:rRNA from 1 species